rfam:Kingella kingae ATCC 23330 genomic scaffold SCAFFOLD6, whole genome shotgun sequence.
UGUCUUGGUUGCAUGCAGCUUGACAAACUUGUCCGCCGCAAGGCAUUUUAUUUUUAGGAAACAUUCAAAAUGGCAUUAACCGUAGAACAAAAAGCGCAAAUCGUCAAAGAUUUCCAACGCAAAGAA